rnacentral:rRNA from 1 species
GUGAGUAACGCGUGGGAACGUACCCUUCACUACGGAAUAGCUUCUGGAAACGGAAGGUAAUACCGUAUACGCCCUCCGGGGGAAAGAUUUAUCGGUGAAGGAUCGGCCCGCGUUAGAUUAGUUUGUUGGUGGGGUAAUGGCCUACCAAGACUACGAUCUAUAGCUGGUCUGAGAGGAUGAUCAGCCACACUGGGACUGAGACACGGCCCAGACUCCUACGGGAGGCAGCAGUGGGGAAUCUUGCACAAUGGGCGAAAGCCUGAUGCAGCCAUGCCGCGUGAAUGAUGAAGGCCUUAGGGUUGUAAAAUUCUUUCGCCAGGGAUGAUAAUGACAGUACCUGGUAAAGAAGCCCCGGCUAACUUCGUGCCAGCAGCCGCGGUAAUACGAAGGGGGCUAGCGUUGUUCGGAAUUACUGGGCGUAAAGCGCGCGUAGGCGGGCUAUUAAGCCAGAUGUGAAAGCCCGGGGCUCAACCUCGGAAUUGCAUUUGGAACUGGUAGCCUAGAGACCAGGAGAGGUUAGCGGAAUACCGAGUGUAGAGGUGAAAUUCGUAGAUAUUCGGUGGAACACCAGUGGCGAAGGCGGCUAACUGGACUGGUACUGACGCUGAGGCGCGAAAGUGUGGGGAGCAAACAGGAUUAGAUACCCUGGUAGUCCACACC